GCCCAGGAGUCAGGAAUCUGAAGAAGGAUCCAGGGGACGAAGGGACAGGUGCAGGCAUUGCUGCAGCCGCUCAUUAACGAGGAGGUGAAAACGGAAAACACAAAGUGAUGGAGGCUUUCCAGCAAGCGGGUAUGGCGUGGAAGCCUGGGGCACACCAACCCAUGAGGCUAGUCAAAGGAAGUGAAGAAGGGAAGACCGCAACAAGGGCAGGAGACAGGAGUCACAAGUACAUUUCCUGGAAUCCAAGGCCUACGUUGGAAUUCCUCAGGAGGUUUAUCUC
rnacentral:lncRNA from 1 species